CAAUGCACACCACUCCUGGUCCCUAAACAAGAUGAGACAGAAAAAUUAGUUGGAAAAAAAAAAGAAAAAGAGGAGUAUUGUGAGCUGGUGUUGGCCAUCAAGUGCUAUACAAUGAGGAAUGCAUACCUGAUAUGUGCUAUUUUCCUGAUACUGAUGAUCGUUUAUUCAAACACUCCAUCAUGCCAAGGCCAAGAGCAGCCACAGGUGGCACGUGGUCAUCGUCUGCCCAGGCCUCCUAGGCCUCCUUAUACGCCAGUGCCUCAUCCCCCUAAGCCUCCUAGUCCUCCUGUUACGCCAGUACCCCCCAGUCCUCCUGCGCCUCCUUAUAUGCCAGUGCGCCAUCCACCUGGAGCACCACACCCUCGCAGUUUGUUGCAGGCAGAGCAGCCCCAGGUGGUACGUGGUCCUCGUCCCCCCAAGCCUCCAAAGCCUCCUAGGCCACCUCGUCCACCUCGACCACCCCCACACAGUUUGUUGCUGGCAGAGCAGAAGUCCGAGACAUGCUACAGAUUCUCUCCGGUUGGCUCUGUGAGCAGAUGUGCAAGGAAAAUGGCUUCGAAACCAAACACAGCUACUACAUAGAGAGCCUGGAUUCUAAAUGGGAAUGUUGCUGUCCUCAUUAAGCAAUGUAACGGCAAGCAUCUGUUUGAUGGCAACACAAUAAAAAUGUUUGUUUUCCUUGCCUAGAUGCA